CUGUCCCGUGUCCCCAGCGGGUGCUCACGGCCGAUUUCUGCGAGGGCUGCAAGAUCACCAACGUCGAGGGGAUUCAGGAGCUGGGCCUGGGGCUCCGAGAUACGGCAGAGAAGCUGAUCCAGGUGUUCGCUGAGCAGAUUUUCUACACCGGGUUCAUCCACGCGGAUCCGCACCCCGGGAACGUGCUGGUGCAGCGAGGCCCCGAUGGGAAAGCGCAGCUGGUGCUGCUGGACCACGGCCUGUACGA